AGGCCUUUUGAGAGCUCAUUGGCUUCGGGUUCCAUCGGAACUCCGAAGUUAAGCAAGUUCGCACGAGAGCAAUCCCAUGAUGGGUGACCCACUGGGAAGUUCUCAUGUGAGUUCCCAGAAACAAAAUCGUGAGGGCGUGGUCGGGGCCCAAAGUGGACAAUAUUGUGCUACGACGGAAUCGAGCCCGGGAUAUGGUGGAGCUCGGGUCAGGAUGUGACAAUUUGGUAUCAGAGCCAAUCCCUGGCCGAAGUGUGCCGACGAGGACGUCGAGCCCCUGAGAGGGGUGGAUUGUAACAUCCUACAUCGCCCAUAGGAGUGGAUCAUCUAAGCCUUAUAUGUAUAUUCCCAUCUUUACCUAGCAUGAGGCAUUUUGGGAGCUCACUGGCUUCAGGUUCCAUUGGAACUCCGAAGUUAAACGAGUUCACACGAGAGGAAUCCCAUGAUGGGUGACCUACUGGGAAGUUCUUGUGUAAGUU
rnacentral:sRNA from 1 species